rnacentral:rRNA from 12 species
GUCAGAGGUGAAAUUCUUGGAUUUAUGGAAGACGAACUGCUGCGAAAGCGUCGAACAAGGACGUUCUCAUUAAUCAAGAACGAAAGUUAGGGGAUCGAAGAUGAUUAGAUACCAUCGUAGUCUUAACCAUAAACUAUGCCGAUUCAGGAUUGGCGGUCGUUUGUUCUCGACUCCGUCAGCACUGUAUGAGAAAUCAAAAUCUUUGGGUUCCGGGGGGAGUAUGGUCGCAAGGCUGAAACUUAAAGAAAUUGACGGAAGGGCACCACCAGGAGUGGAGCCUGCGGCUUAAUUUGACUCAACACGGGGAAACUCACCAGGUCCAGACACAAUAAGGAUUGACAGAUUGAGAGCUCUUUCUUGAUUUUGUGGGUGGUGGUGCAUGGCCGUUCUUAGUUGGUGGAGUGAUUUGUCUGCUUAAUUGCGAUAACGAACGAGACCUUAACCUACUAAAUAGUGCUGCUAGCUUUUGCUGGUAUAGUCACUUCUUAGAGGGACUAUCGAUUUCAAGUCGAUGGAAGUUUGAGGCAAUAACAGGUCUGUGAUGCCCUUAGAUGUCCUGGGCCGCACGCGCGCUACACUGGCACACGCAACGAGUCUAUCACCUUGGUCGGCAGGCCUGGGUAAUCUGUGAACGUGUGCCGUGAUUGGGAUUGAUUGUUGCAAUUUUCAAUCAUGAACGAGGAAUUCCUAGUAAACGCGAGUCAUCAGCUCGCAUUGAUUACGUCCCUGCCCUUUGUACACACCGCCCGUCGCACCUACCGAUUGAAUGGUUCGGUGAAAUCUCCGGAUUGGAGCACGCAAGCUUCACGGCGAACGUGCUUUGAGAAGUUGAUUAAACCUCACUAUUUAGAGGAAGGUGAAGUCGUAACAAGGUUUCCGUAGGUGAACCUGCGGAAGGAUCAUU